UGAGAAGCUAUUGGAAUGUUAUUCUGUUCUCACAAGGCUUGCCAGACCCCUGCCUCCCAUCUUGAUGUCUAAUAGGUCAAUCUUUCAAGAACACUUGUGGGGAGACCUGUGUCCUGGUCUGGAUCAGAGAUGUGAUGUAUUAACUUUCAGAGUCCUCCUUCACCCCGGCCUAUGUUUUACGGCUAGUGAGGGAAGUCUUUCCUGCCAGGAGAUGUUCAUUGAAGUGCAGACUGCUCGGAGCCACACCGCAGGCUGGCAGAGGAAGUGUCUCGGUGUUGCCUUGGCCCGUUCACCCCCUGCCAGGCCAGUAGAGGAGCUGAAGAGUCUUCGCCAUGGUUUGAGAAAAAGGUUAUAGAGGCCUGAGGCUGGAGGCAGGGGGAUCAGUGAGGAGGCUGCAGCAUCAGUCCAGGUUUACCAGGUAUACUUGUUUCACCGGGGAAUAGGUCUGUAGAACUCACACUGCCAUCCAGGAAGUGAAACUCCCCGGUACAGGCAUACCAUGGACAUAUUUCGGGUUCAGCUCCAGACCACCACAGUGAAGUGAAUAUUGCAACUAAGCAAGUCACGCAUGUUUUUUCUUUGUUUCCUCUCUCCAAGUUCGCUCCAGGGCUUGCGAGAAACAAAGUGCUCUCCCUCAGCCCCAGCUCCUCGCACACCCAGUGGAAAGGAAACACUUGCUGUAAUUGGAAAGCCCCGAGAAGGUUGAGAGCACUUUUGUUUUCUUCAUCUCUGCGUCCUUAUUUCUUGGAACACUACCUGGCAAACCAUGGGUGCACCAUGCAGCAAGUUAAGGUCGCCGAAGUAGAAUUGCGUAUUAAGCCAGUGUCUCCAUCCAGG
rnacentral:lncRNA from 1 species